GUCCAGACUCCUACGGGAGGCAGCAGUGGGGAAUAUUGCACAAUGGGGGAAACCCUGAUGCAGCGACGCCGCGUGAGUGAAGAAGUAUUUCGGUAUGUAAAGCUCUAUCAGCAGGGAAGAAAAUGACGGUACCUGACUAAGAAGCCCCGGCUAACUACGUGCCAGCAGCCGCGGUAAUACGUAGGGGGCAAGCGUUAUCCGGAUUUACUGGGUGUAAAGGGAGCGUAGACGGCAUGGCAAGUCAGAUGUGAAAGCCCGGGGCUCAACCCCGGGACUGCAUUUGAAACUGGCAGGCUGGAGUGCAGGAGAGGUAAGUGGAAUUCCUAGUGUAGCGGUGAAAUGCGUAGAUAUUAGGAGGAACACCAGUGGCGAAGGCGUCUUACUGGACCGAAACUGACGUUGAGGCUCGAAAGCGUGGGGAGCAAACAGGAUUAGAUACCCCUGUAGCC
rnacentral:rRNA from 1 species